AGGUAUUCUCAUGUCUCAAGAUUAGCCAUGCAUGUCUAAGUAUAAAUGGUAUACAAUGAAACUGCGAAUGGCUCAUUAAAACAGUUAUAGUUUAUUUGGUAAUCGAAUUUACAUGGAUAACCGUGGUAACCCGAGAGCUAAUACUUGCUGUUGUGCCUGACUCACGAAAGGCCGUAUUUAUUAGAUACCAGCCAAUUGACUUCGGUCAUUGUGGUGAAUCAUAGUAACUUAAUCGGAUCGCAUGGGCUUUGCCCGCGACAAACCAUUCAAGUUUCUGCCCCAUCAUGCUAGAUGGUAGUGUAUUGGACUACCAUGGCUUUCACGGGUAACGGAGGAUUAGGGUUCGAUUCCGGAGAGGGAGCCUGAGAAACGGCUACCACUUCUACGGAGAGCAGCAGGCGCGUAAAUUACCCAAUCCUGAUUCAGGGAGGUAGUGACAAGAAAUAAUGGGUCGGAGUUCUACUCCGGGACUGCAAUGGGACGAAUCUAGACCCUUUUUCGAGGAUCAAUUGGAGGGCAAGUCUGGUGCCAGCAGCCGCGGUAAUUCCAGCUCCAAUAGCGUAUAUUAAAGUUGUUGCAGUUAAAAAGCUCGUAGUUGGAUUUCUGGCGUAUUGUCGAGAACUUCUUUUCUAGGAGAGCGAGACAUACUCCAUCCUUCUGUUAACCUUUGAGAAGGUCAAACUUCUCUUUGGGGCUCAGAUAUUUUACCUUGAGAAAAUUAGAGUGUUUCAGGCAGGCUUGUGCCCGGAUACAUUAGCAUGGAAUAAUAGAACAGGACUUUAGCCUCUUCUGUUGGUCUGGGGGGUUGAAGUAAUGAUUAAUAGGGAUAGUUGGGGGCAUUAGUACUUAACUGUCAGAGGUGAAAUUCUCGGAUUUGUUAAAGACUAACUUAUGCGAAAGCAUUUGCCAAGGAUGUUUUCAUUAAUCAAGAACGAAAGUUAGGGAUCAAAGACGAUCAGAUACCGUCCUAGUCUUAACCAUAAACUAUUGCCGACUCGGGAUCGGGGGCAGAGAACACUGCCUUCGCACCGUUAUGAAAAUCAAAGUCUUUGGUUCUGGGGGGAGUAUGUCGCAAGCUGAACUUUAUGAUGACGAAGCACCCUCAAGCCUGGAGCUUGCGCUCAUGGACUCACACGGAAACCUGCCAGGUCGGACCUUAGUGAGAUUGACGAUGAUGCCUUUUCGAAUCAUCGUGUGCCAUGCGUCUAGUGGCGAGGAUGCCGGUAUGCCGUUA
rnacentral:rRNA from 1 species